AUAGCAGCACAGUACUUAAAUUAUGGUCAUGUUUUUUUUUUUCGUGAAUGAAUAAUUUUAUAUUUUUGCAGGUGAAGCUACAAUAUUUGUCUUGAACUUGACUUUACUAGCUGGGCUUAUAAAGACAAGAUAUCCAGAAGUGAUUUCAUAGAGAACUGGAAAUCAAUAAUACCUAGAAGCAUGUGAAGUGGAGAUGAAGUGAUGCUGAGAACUUUCAAGGAAACUUCUCAGUGAAGUACGAUGAUGGCACACAAGAGUACCUUCUUCAUGUUCUUCAUGGGAUAAAGCACAGGAUCAUUAUAAUCAGGAGUUACUCACAGGAUCAUUAUAAUCAGGAGUUACUAGUACUCAGUCAACAUAGACUCAAUUUUAGAAAAGAAUUAAAUGGAUAUUAAUGUUAGCCUAAAAAUAUUUGACCUAGAGUCUUUAGUUUGUGUUGGGGCACCCAUGUCCUUUGGAUACUUUUCUAGUUACAAUUUAUUUAGACAUUAGUGUAAAUACAACAAAAUUAAUUAUUUAAUGCUGUUCAUGUUUGAACUAUGUUUUAAUCUUACCUACAUGUAUAAAAAUCAAACAUUUUUAGCUCGACUAUUUGAUAAGAAUAAGUAUAGCUAUUGUAGUCACCCGAGUGGCGGCGUAACCUCCUAUGUUAAAGUUUUUGUAAUACCACAAAUAUUUUCAAAGUCCGUUAUUAAGAUUUUUCUUGUUAUAAAUAAAUGUUCCGCCGGCAGAACAGAAUCACUUAUGAUUAUCUCCUAUGUUUAAAUUGAUGUUAUCAUAUUUAUGAUCCGUC